rnacentral:rRNA from 1 species
AUUGAACGCUGGCGGCAGGCCCAACACAUGCAAGUCGGACGGUAGCACAGAGAGCUUGCUCUUGGGUGACGAGUGGCGGACGGGUGAGUAAUGUCUGGGGAUCUGCCCGAUAGAGGGGGAUAACCACUGGAAACGGUGGCUAAUACCGCAUAACGUCGCAAGACCAAAGAGGGGGACCUUCGGGCCUCUCACUAUCGGAUGAACCCAGAUGGGAUUAGCUAGUAGGCGGGGUAAUGGCCCACCUAGGCGACGAUCCCUAGCUGGUCUGAGAGGAUGACCAGCCACACUGGAACUGAGACACGGUCCAGACUCCUACGGGAGGCAGCAGUGGGGAAUAUUGUACAAUGGGCGCAAGCCUGAUGCAGCCAUGCCGCGUGUAUGAAGAAGGCCUUCGGGUUGUAAAGUACUUUCAGCGGGGAGGAAGGCUGUGAGGUUAAUAACCUCACCGAUUGACGUUACCCGCAGAAGAAGCACCGGCUAACUCCGUGCCAGCAGCCGCCGUAA